rnacentral:rRNA from 1 species
UACGUAGGGGGCAAGCGUUGUCCGGAAUCAUUGGGCGUAAAGGGCGCGUAGGCGGCUCGGCACGUCCGUUGUGAAAGCCCCCGGCUCAACUGGGGAGGGUCACGCGAUACUGAUCGACUCGAAGGCAGGAGAGGGAAGUGGAAUUCCCGGUGUAGUGGUGAAAUGCGUAGAUAUCGGGAGGAACACCAGUGGCGAAGGCGACUUCCUGGCCUGUUCUUGACGCUGAGGCGCGAAAGCUAGGGGAGCAAACGGG